GAUCAUGGCUCAGGAUGAACGCUAGCUACAGGCUUAACACAUGCAAGUCGGGGGGCAGCAUGAAAGGAACUUCGGUUCUUUUUGAUGGCGACCGGCGCACGGGUGCGUAACGCGUAUCGAACCUGCCUCAUACUCGGGGAUAGCCUUGCGAAAGUAAGAUUAAUACCCGGCGGUCUCGGAUGGCCGCAUGACUAUCCGAGUGAAGAUUUAUCGGUAUGAGAUGGCGAUGCGUCCCA
rnacentral:rRNA from 1 species